CCCGUCACACCAUGGAGUCAAUUGCUCCACGAAGUCAGUGUGCCAACCGCAAGGAGGCAGCUGCCCAAGGAGUGAUUGGUAACUGGGGUG
rnacentral:rRNA from 1 species